rnacentral:misc_RNA from 1 species
AAAGUCGUAACAAGGUUUCCGUAGGUGAACCUGCGGAAGGAUCAUUAACACGUAUCCACGUACCACUAGUAAACCUAACUGUGUGAACACUGUUUUUCCCGUUUCUCGCUCUCUUUUGCGCAUGCGUUCGCGCCUCUACGCAUCUGCGGGCAAGCAAACACCAAGGGAAAAGGUCGCGGGAGUUUGGACCUAAAACGAACUUCACCUUUGUCAUUUUCAACCCCUUUUAUAACUUACUUGACUGAAACCGAGAUCGGGAUCGGAAACGACCCGCCAUCUCUUCGCUCGGUCCUAAAAAAACCGAAUCGAUAAACUCUUAACAACUCUUAGCAACGGAUAUCUUGGUUCUC